rnacentral:rRNA from 1 species
CGUAAACGAUGAGUGCUAAGUGUUAGGGGGUUCCGCCCUUUAGUGCUGCAGCUAACGCAUUAAGCACUCCGCUGGGGAGUACGACCGCAAGGUUGAAACUCAAAGGAAUUGACGGGGGCCCGCACAAGCGGUGGAGCAUGUGGUUUAAUUCGAAGCAACGCGAAGAACCUUACCAGGUCUUGACAUCCUUUGACCACUCUAGAGAUAGAGCUUUCCCUUCGGGGACAAAGUGACAGGUGGUGCAUGGUUGUCGUCAGCUCGUGUCGUGAGAUGUUGGGUUAAGUCCCGCAACGAGCGCAACCCUUAUUGUUAGUUGCCAUCAUUUAGUUGGGCACUCUAGCGAGACUGCCGGUGACAAACCGGAGGAAGGUGGGGAUGACGUCAAAUCAUCAUGCCCCUUAUGACCUGGGCUACACACGUGCUACAAUGGGAAGUACAACGAGUCGCUAGGCCGCGAGGUCAUGCAAAUCUCUUAAAGCUUCUCUCAGUUCGGAUUGUAGGCUGCAACUCGCCUACAUGAAGCCGGAAUCGCUAGUAAUCGCGGAUCAGCACGCCGCGGUGAAUACGUUCCCGGGCCUUGUACACACCGCCCGUCACACCACGAAAGUUUGUAACACCCGAAGUCGGUGAGGUAACCUUUUGGAGCCAGCCGCCUAAGGUGGGAUAGAUGAUUGGGGUGAAGUCGUAACAAGGUAACCA